rnacentral:rRNA from 1 species
GAUGAACGCUAGCUACAGGCUUAACACAUGCAAGUCGAGGGGUAACAAGAGAAAAGCUUGCUUUUCUUGUUGACGACCGGCGCACGGGUGAGUAACGCGUAUCCAACCUGCCUAUAACUAGGGAAUAACCUUGCGAAAGUAAGACUAAUACCCUAUGAUUUCCUUUGAUGACAUCAGAUUAUGAAUAAAGAUUUAUCGGUUAUAGAUGUGGAUGCGUCUGAUUAGCUUGUUGGCGGGGUAACGGCCCACCAAGGCAACGAUCAGUAGGGGUUCUGAGAGGAAGGUCCCCCACAUUGGAACUGAGACACGGUCCAAACUCCUACGGGAGGCAGCAGUGAGGAAUAUUGGUCAAUGGGCGGAAGCCUGAACCAGCCAAGUAGCGUGCAGGAUGACGGCCCUAUGGGUUGUAAACUGCUUUUAUACAGGAAUAAAGUUAGCCACGUGUGGUUAUUUGUAGGUACUGUAUGAAUAAGGACCGGCUAAUUCCGUGCCAGCAGCCGCGGUAA